UAGGGAAUCUUCCACAAUGGACGAAAGUCUGAUGGAGCAACGCCGCGUGAGUGAAGAAGGGUUUCGGCUCGUAAGGCUCUGUUGUCGGGGACGAAUGUGCAGUAUUUGAAUAAAUUACUGCAAUGACGGUACCUGACGAGGAAGCCACGGCUAACUACGUGCCAGCAGCCGCGGUAAUACGUAGGUGGCAAGCGUUGUCCGGAAUUAUUGGGCGUAGAGGGAGCGCAGGCGGGAAGGUAAGUCGGUCUUAAAAGUGCGGGGCUCAACCCCGUGAUGGGAUCGAAACUAUCUUUCUUGAGUGCAGGAGAGGAAAGUGGAAUUCCUAGUGUAGCGGUGAAAUGCGUAGAUAUUAGGAGGAACACCAGUGGCGAAGGCGACUUUCUGGACUGUAACUGUCGCUGAGGCUCGAAAGCCAGGGGAGCGAACGGGAUUAGAUACCCCGGUAGUCCUGGCCGUAAACGAUGAAUACUAGGUGUGGGAGGUAUCGACCCCUUCCGUGCCGGAGUUAACGCAAUAAGUAUUCCGCCUGGGGAGUACGGUCGCAAGACUG
rnacentral:rRNA from 1 species